UACUUAACAGUUGGUACUGGUUCAGUCAUUUGAAGGCUGUGGUACAGAGGACAGCCCGGCUCCCUCCGCAUAGUACCAGGCUCUCAUCAGGUAGAGCUGUUUUGUUGUAGUGAGCUCAGAACAGCUUGGAGGUGGGAAGUUGCUGCACAAGGUUAUUUAUACAAGUACAUUUGAUUUUUCAUGUCAGAAACCUGUCAUUAGUUUAAAUGCACUCUAAAUGCUUGCAGUCUCACGCAGAGCUGCAAUAAUGAAGUGGUUUUUAUUUCAUCCCUUUCAGUUGUGAAAUCUGGAAUAAUGCACCUGUGCCACUCAGGAGUUUUGAUCCUGCCUGUUGUGAUUUCUUCUGUCCUCUGACAUUUGAAACGGGCUUGUUGCGCCCAGGGGGACGCCAGCUUAGGGGAAGUUUUCAAACAAAAUCUAAAUAUACAGCAUAUGUGUUUGUGAGUGUAAGAGCAAGCAUUAGUUAAAUUGUCUCCUGUUUGCCUUCUGAGAAUGUAAGGCCUUGAUCUGUGAGAAGCCUUUUAACUCUUUGCAGCACCAUCUCAACUACAACUGUGUUUUGCCUAUAAAUACAUGUCUGAAGGUACCACUGACUUCAGCUGAACUAUAAAUGAAAACUGAUAUAAAAACUGCACAACAGAGGCUGGGUGCUGUUUGCCUCCCAUCUGAGACAGACAACAGGAGGCACCAGUAAAAGGAUGUGAAAGACCAUCUGUGUCAUUCCAGGAUCAAACCACAAACUGAUCUAUGUAACAUGACUGUUGCUGCAUACCUGAGCAGGGAGCUCGACAUAAUGUAAGGAGGAGGCUGGGAAGAAGUAGGCACAGGUUAACUGAAAGGGGGUGAGCUGCAGUAUUUGGAGAAUGGGAUUCUAUUUCUGAAAGCAAAUCUUGAGCGUCAUUAACUUGCUGUUUUUUCUAAUAAAAACUGAAAUGUGACACUUUGAA